ACUUAGCGGCGGACGGGUGAGUAACGCGUGGGUAACCUGCCUUACACUGGGGGAUAACAGUUAGAAAUGACUGCCAAUACCGCAUAAGCGCACAGGGCCGCAUGGUCUGGUGUGAAAAACUCCGGUGGUGUAAGAUGGACCCGCGUCUGAUUAGGUAGUUGGUGGGGUAACGGCCCACCAAGCCGACGAUCAGUAGCCGACCUGAGAGGGUGACCGGCCACAUUGGGACUGAGACACGGCCCAA
rnacentral:rRNA from 1 species